AUUAUUGGGCUAAAAUGUGUCCA
rnacentral:siRNA from 1 species